rnacentral:rRNA from 1 species
CAAGUCGAGCGGUAGAGAGAAGCUUGCUUCUCUUGAGAGCGGCGGACGGGUGAGUAAUGCCUAGGAAUCUGCCUGGUAGUGGGGGAUAACGUUCGGAAACGGACGCUAAUACCGCAUACGUCCUACGGGAGAAAGCAGGGGACCUUCGGGCCUUGCGCUAUCAGAUGAGCCUAGGUCGGAUUAGCUAGUUGGUGAGGUAAUGGCUCACCAAGGCGACGAUCCGUAACUGGUCUGAGAGGAUGAUCAGUCACACUGGAACUGAGACACGGUCCAGACUCCUACGGGAGGCAGCAGUGGGGAAUAUUGGACAAUGGGCGAAAGCCUGAUCCAGCCAUGCCGCGUGUGUGAAGAAGGUCUUCGGAUUGUAAAGCACUUUAAGUUGGGAGGAAGGGUUGUAGAUUAAUACUCUGCAAUUUUGACGUUACCGACAGAAUAAGCACCGGCUAACUCUGUGCCAGCAGCCGCGGUAAUACAGAGGGUGCAAGCGUUAAUCGGAAUUACUGGGCGUAAAGCGCGCGUAGGUGGUUUGUUAAGUUGGAUGUGAAAUCCCCGGGCUCAACCUGGGAACUGCAUUCAAAACUGACUGACUAGAGUAUGGUAGAGGGUGGUGGAAUUUCCUGUGUAGCGGUGAAAUGCGUAGAUAUAGGAAGGAACACCAGUGGCGAAGGCGACCACCUGGACUAAUACUGACACUGAGGUG